rnacentral:rRNA from 1 species
CCUACGGGGGGCAGCAGUGGGGAAUAUUGGACAAUGGGGGCAACCCUGAUCCAGCCAUGCCGCGUGUGUGAAGAAGGCCCUCGGGUUGUAAAGCACUUUCAGUGAGGAAGAACGCCUGGUGGUUAAUACCCAUCAGGAAAGACAUCACUCACAGAAGAAGCACCGGCUAACUCCGUGCCAGCAGCCGCGGUAAUACGGAGGGUGCGAGCGUUAAUCGGAAUUACUGGGCGUAAAGCGCGCGUGGGUGGCUUGAUAAGCCGGUUGUGAAAGCCCCGGGCUCAACCUGGGAACGGCAUCCGGAACUGUCAAGCUAGAGUGCAGGAGAGGAAGGUAGAAUUCCCGGUGUAGCGGUGAAAUGCGUAGAGAUCGGGAGGAAUACCAGUGGCGAAGGCGGCCUCCUGGACUGACACUGACACUGAGGUGCGAAAGCGUGGGUAGCAAACAGGAUUAGAUACCCCGGUAGUC